UACGGGGGGUGCGAGCGUUGUUCGGAUUUACUGGGCGUAAAGGGCGUGCAGGCGGGUCGACAAGUCCUGUGUGUAAUCUCCCGGCUCAACCGGGAAACUGCAUGGGAAACUAUUGAUCUUGAGUGCGAGAGAGGAUGGCGGAAUUCCUGGUGUAGCGGUGAAAUGCGUAGAUAUCAGGAGGAACACCGGUGGCGAAGGCGGCCAUCUAGCUCGACACUGACGCUGAGACGCGAAGGCCGGGGGAGCAAACAGG
rnacentral:rRNA from 1 species